GAUGAAGAACGUAGCGAAAUGCGAUAAGUAGUGUGAAUUGCAGAAUUCAGUGAAUCAUCGAAUCUUUGAACGCACAUUGCGCCCCUUGGUAUCCCGAGGGGCAUGCCUGUUCGAGCGUCAUUUCACCACUCAAGCCUGGCUUGGUGUUAGGCGACGUCCCCUUUGGGGACGCGCCUCGAAACGCUCGGCGGCGUGGCACCGGCUUUAAGCGUAGCAGAAUCUUUCGCUUUGGAAGUCGGGGCCCCGUCUGCCGGAAGACCUACUCGCAAGGUUGACCUCGGAUCAGGCAGGGAUACCCGCUGAACUUAAGCAUAUCAAUAAGCGGAGGA
rnacentral:misc_RNA from 1 species